AUUGAACGCUGGCGGCAGGCCUAACACAUGCAAGUCGAACGAGUGGCGGACGGGUGAGUAAUGUAUGGGAAACUGCCCGAUGGAGGGGGAUAACUACUGGAAACGGUAGCUAAUACCGCAUACCAUCGGAUGCACCCAUAUGGGAUUAGCUAGUAGGUGGGGUAAAGGCUCACCUAGGCGACGAUCCCUAGCUGGUCUGAGAGGAUGACCAGCCACACUGGAACUGAGACACGGCCCAGACUCCUACGGGAGGCAGCAGUGGGGAAUAUUGCACAAUGGGCGCAAGCCUGAUGCAGCCAUGCCGCGUGUAUGAAGAAGGCCUUAGGGUUGUAAAGUACUUUCAGCGAGGAGGCGUUACUCGCAGAAGAAGCACCGGCUAACUCCGUGCCAGCCGCCGCGGUAAUUC
rnacentral:rRNA from 1 species